rnacentral:tRNA from 1 species
GCGCCCGUAGCUCAGCUGGAUAGAGCGCUGGCUUGCGGAGUCAGAGGUCGCAGGUUCGAAUCCUGCCGGGCGCG